rnacentral:rRNA from 1 species
UACGUAGGGGGCGAGCGUUAUCCGGAUUUAUUGGGCGUAAAGCGCGCGUGGGCGGCCGAUCACGUCGGGUGUGAAAGCUCGGGGCUUAACCCUGAGAGGCCAUUCGAUACGGAUCGGCUAGAGGCAGGUAGGGGAAGGUGGAAUUCCUGGUGUAGCGGUGAAAUGCGCAGAUAUCAGGAGGAACACCGGUGGCGAAGGCGGCCUUCUGGGCCUGUCCUGACGCUGAGGCGCGAAAGCUGGGGGAGCAAACAGG